UACGGAGGGGGCUAGCGUUGUUCGGAAUUACUGGGCGUAAAGCGCACGUAGGCGGCUUUGUAAGUUAGAGGUGAAAGCCCGGGGCUUAACCCCCGGAAUAGCCUUUAAGACUGCAUCGCUUGAACACGGGAGAGGUGAGUGGAAUUCCGAGUGUAGAGGUGAAAAUUCGUAGAUAUUCGGAAGAACACCAGUGGCGAAGGCGGCUCACUGGACCGUUGUUGACGCUGAGGUGCGAAAGCGUGGGGAGCAAACAGGG
rnacentral:rRNA from 1 species